CUUCCCUCCCUCAACUUAAAACCAUUUCCCCUCGUCCUGGAGUUAUCUGCCCUUUCAAAGAGUUGAAACACCAUAAUACCAUCAAAAAACUGCUGACCUGAAAGAUUAAAUGCUGACAUUUGCCCUUUAAAAACUUCAUUAUGAAAUAGUGGUCUUGAGUUAACAUCGAGAUUAGGGGGGAUUUACAUAACUUUUAGUUGUGUUUCGUAUUCAGGUCUAGUUUUUCUCAGGAUGUGCAAAAUAUAUUUAACUGGUUCUGCUAGAUUGCCAUGUGAUUUCUUAAGAAAAGAAAGAUAUAUUGUGUAAGUAGAUUCCAAUAGUUGAUAAUUUAUCCUCUGCAGUAGUUUUUUCUUAGACAUCAUCUUAUAUUGUAUUGGUUUAUACCUGGUAUAAGAGGACAGGACAUCUGCAUCUCCAUAUAAAUCUAUCACUUAAUGUUCAGACUCAUGUAAACACAUAAAGCAUUGACCCAAAACUCUGAGGACUGAAGAAGGCAGUGCUUGGAGAACAAACAAACAAACAAACAAACAAACAAACACCAGACUCUGUAGUUAGUAGGUGGAAAUAUAUAUUCUCUGUGGAUGGGUCAUAGGCUGGGCAUCAGGCAAACAUGAGGAAAUGGCUAGAUAAACAUGUAAACAAAGUAGGGACAGAAAAUAAUAAACUUCUGCAAAAUUUUCCUUUGAUCUCUCUCCUUUUUGGAUGGAGAUGCAGCUUCCAGAUUUGGUAGAGGGGCUUUUAAAUUGUUGCUAUCAGUUUUCUACUCUGGAAUUAGCAUGGAUCAGUGCUAUAGCAAAAUGCAUGCAUCUUUUGACCUAAACAAUUUGUUGGAGAUAUUAAUAGAAUAGUAAAUCCAAAUCUGAUCUAUUCUGUAAAUCUUAGGUUGCCUUUAAAGUGCUGCUAUUUUGAAAGAAGGCUGUGAGCAAAUGAAAAUAGGAAAACAGCUGUCAAAUGAGAAGACCAGUGCUCCUUCCUUCCUCCCAUCAGGAACUCUAUAGGACUUAAAGUCAGGUCCAGUGCACUUCUUUUCAUCAUACGCAUGGAACCUAUGUAAAACCUGUGCAAAACUUCCAUCCUAUGUUUUCUGGUGAUCUUCUGUACCUAGGGAGUCUCCCAGAAGAUUGUUUCUCCAGUAGGUGAGUCUUGGGUGUCAUGUUUUGCAGCACUGCGUGCCUGGUGCCAACCGGCCUAGUCCCAAACCUCUUAGAAGUCCAGUCCCUAAGCAAGCAGUGAGGAUGGAUAUGGAUUAAUCAGGUGAUUCCGAACCAGAGGCUGGGAAGCAGGGUGAGUGUAACUGAGAAGCACUGAGCACAGAAUGAUGGAAAAGGGCAGGUAUUUGUCUGUUUUCAUGUGUUUUAUGGGGUCUUCGUGACAGUCAGAAUCCUGUGUAACUGGAGGUAGCUUGAGGUGGGUUUUUUGUUGUUGUUGUUUUGGGGGGGAGGAGUUGAUGUUUUUUGUUUGUUUGUUUGUUUUUGUUUUAAUGGCUUGGGUUGGAAGGGACCCCAACGAUCAAGUUCCAACCCUCCUGCCCAGGCAGGGCCACCAAACUCUAGAUCUGGUAUUAGACCAGAACUCUAGACUAGGAUUCUUGCAUUAAAAUCAUUUGGCAAAUGCAGUUAGGUACAAUGGGCAACAAUUGUUUCCUGAGGGAUGUCUAAAUUUGGGGCUUUAUAGGCUAAAGUCUAACAGAAAUGACUUAAAAGAUGACUUGAUGGCAGUGUUGCAUUUGUGCCUUUUGAUGGGCUUUAUGUAGACGUGAAUUUGGUUUAGCUGGAGCUGUUGGUAUGCAAGAUAGCAUCACAGAAAAGUUUGAUCUCAGACAUUAGGUCAACUUAGUGUCCAAACCUGACCAUUAAUUGCCUUUUCUAGGGGGCAAGGAGUUUGUGUUAUCAGUGAGCAAAAGGCAUAAGACAGCAAACUGGGUGUGAGAAAGUUUGAAGCUGAUAGUGAGAUGGUUAUUUCAAGGUGUUAGUCAAUUGACCCACAAUGUUUCAACAGUAAUAAAAAAUAUUGAGCUACACUUCUCCCGUGACUGUGCUACUUGUGUAAAUAUUUGAAUAUUUAUCUAAGAACCGCAGCAUAUACAUAUAUAACAGUGCUUAUUAACAAAGGUUGUGGCUAUGUUUAAACAUUUUUUUCUGCAUUCCUGUUUGUCUUUGUCUUACAGUGUUUUUAUUUAUAUUGUCUAUUUUAGACCUUUGGUAAAAUUAGACUUCCGAUCUUUGGUAAGUAACACAGAUUUUCCUGCCAGCUUAGGCACAUUUUAAAAACAGCUUUUACUUUAUAAUUAAUAGUUCAUAUUAUAGUGCUACCUGUUUGUACUGGGCUUGGAGAAGUCCAAGGGGAUUGAAACAGUUCCCUUCUUUCUCUUUCCUUUUUUUUCCUCCUCUCCCACCACCCAGUCACUGGCAUUCUUCAACAAACCUUAUAUAGUUUGAAAGAAGCACGGCUCAUAGGUUCGUAACAUUCCUCUGAAGCCAGGUACUGCAAAGCAGUUGGUGGAGGCUAGAUUCAUUGUGUACCUUGCUUGCCAGGGAAACGUAAAUGGGGAAUGUUGGGGAGAUCCCGUGGAUAAAAACAUCAGAAUGAGUGCUGACUUGUAAUUUCACUUAAAGGCAAGUUUAGUUCUGUGGUUUUGUGCCACCAGCUAUCCCAAAACAAAUUGUCAUUAAAGUACUAAACUUUAAAAGCUCAUCAAAGAAAUCUAUAAAUUAGGGUUACUUUAAAUUUCAGGAUCUUAGCAGUGUUUUGUGUGAUGUGAUGCAAUAUAUAGCUAUAUUUGCUAUGGAAUUAAUUCUGGCAAACUGCAAUUUAGGGAUACGUACCACACUGCUGCUCUGUAAUUACUUAGGCUGAGGCCAGCUCCAUAGUGAGAGGAACCAUAGAUACAUACAUAAGAUUAAACAGAUGACAGACCAGUCUUCAGAGUAGUUUUCAGCUGCGAGGAAGGACAAAUUUAUCUCUUCAUUCGGAGCUUUAGGGCACAGACUGUGUGGUCAGGUGCGCAGAGUUAAACUACCCCUGGGCCAGGGUCCUCUGCUCUCCUGCCCUGAGGCCCUCUACUGUAAAUCAGUAUGGCUCCAUCCUCUGGCCCUGCUGAUGAGUGAAUGAUUAACCAAAACCUAUCAACUGGAUGGGAGAUGGGCACUGCUAAAUGACUUGAAAGUAACUCCUGCAUACAGAUUAACUGAUUAAAUUAUUUGCCAGCGAGUUACUCGUACUGACUGAAGUUCAAAGCCUUCUCUUCUGGAUGAGAACAAGACGUACCAGCACAGUUUCCUUAAAAAUUCUCCAUGAGUGCAAGACAGAUACCUCAACAGAAGGCUGUUGCCACCAUGCAGAAUGUCCAGAUCUAGCAGUGCCUUCCCCACACUAUGAAAUUCCCAAACUGGAUAAGGGCAGGCUAAGAAGGGAGAAUUCCUCACGCCUUCCUGGGAGGACUCUGCUAAAAUGGCAGGCUGCGAUCCGGUUGACUUACAGCCUGUGUGCGCGCAGUCACAACACUGACCGGAACGCUGACGUAUUUCAAACUGUGCCAGGCUGCUUUGCUGGUUGGUGUGCAGAGAGCUCUUGGACGACUGUCAGCAUGUGACGGUGUGAUUGUGUAGAAAGUCUCGCAGCAGGACUGCUCGGAAACCGGAUCUCCUCGCUUGGGAUUUGCCAGGGACAUGUCGAUACCUGUGACUGCGUCAAGGAGCUUCGUCGUGUCUCGUCAGGCCUACAUGUGAGUGCUGUGAAGACAUGCUUGCAGAACGCAGGGCUUUUCCACCAGGCACCAUUAGAGCAGUUUGCUGAGGAGGACGACUGCUGGGCGCUGGGGUACCCGGGUGCAGUGCUGUGCAUUCCCACUUGCUAACUCUUCACACAGCAGUCGAAAAGCAAAGAAUAAUUUUGAAAUCCAUGGAAUCACUUCAGGUAUUUACAUGGAAGAGGAUAAAACAUCGUACUUGUUACUUCAAACUUGGUAUUAUAAUUUGUGUUGGAAGCUUGCCUUUUCAGCUUUGUGUGAGCGGUGACUGCACAUUUAGAGACUACAGCUUGUGUGUGUUGAACAACUGAUGACCCUUCAUGGUUAGAGGCUGCACGUGUAGCAGCUCCACGUGCACAGGUGUCCCUGCAGACUCCUGGCAGCCCUGAACACAUAGGCCUGUUCAACAAAGUGGAAGCAAUGCUGCCACUGAAACAGAUUUUUUCUGGAACGUGUAUUUUUAUUAACUUCCUUACGGCCACAAUCCGCUCUGGAAAAGCUCACCGAGUCCGACGUUGUAGCCGAAGCGCUGCAACCUACCCUCCAGUUCCGCAGGCUACAGCAGCGCUUCCCCGCAGCCCGCCUCCAGCUAAGGCCAGGCCUGUCCCGAGGGGCUGGGGGCCGCGCUGGCC